CGGAAAAGCCACCGGACCACAGUGCACUUCGCAUGAGUGAGUGAGCCGAGGGAGUGUUUAGGGUUUGUUUGUUGCUGCAAAUCGCAGAGCCUGUCCUGACUCAUACAGAGAACGAUGCAGAAGCAGAAGCAAGGAGGUACCUCCACCCAGCCCUGCUCUCCUCACCAGAGCCCCGAGGAAAGGGCCUCAGUUCUAGAAAAGGCAGAAGAAGAACUUCAGUAAAGGUGGACUUGAAUAUCUGCUUUCACACUUUUACGUGACAAGCGACAGGACCCAACACUUCUUAAGCAAAAUGCAGUGGUUUGCGUCAAUCAACUGUAUUUCCUGCUAGCAGCCUGAAACGCUUUUCGGGAGGAGACAGAGAUCACAAGCCGGCAGAGAG